rnacentral:lncRNA from 1 species
AAAAGGGUGGAAAAUUUGUGCAAAUAUGAAAAGUGAAAGUGUAUAUUAGUUAUUUUUCCUUUUUUAAUAUCCGACCCAGCCCAACCCUGACCCGACCCAGCCCAUCCUGAUUACCUUUUGUAAUAUGCGACCCAGCCCAACCCUGACCCGACUCAGCCCAUCUUAAUUACCCCUUUUCCUAAUUUUCCUAGCAGCCCAACAGCAACGCCGGCGACGGACGGACAGCAAUCGCCGGCGACCUUGAAGCGGACGGAAGGUCACUUGUGCUGUGUUUGAUUGUACGUUUAGAAACUUUUGCUAUUGUUUUAAGGUAAUUUUCAUUUAUUUUUUGUGCUAUAUUUUGUCCUAUUGUUUCGAUGCAAGUGUUAAUUUGAGUUCAGCUCCAGCUAAUUUUCGUCGAAUUAUGUUUAUUUCUUGAAUAUUGAACUGUUUUUCCCUUGUUCUAUAUUUUUGUUGAAAUUAUAGUGAUUAUUGCUAUAGAAAGAUUAGAUUUUUGAUGGGUUUUCGCUGUUAGAUCUAUAUUUAACCACUACUGUUUCUCAAUUCUAGUGUUUGAUCAUAUUCUACAAUAAUGAAUUACCUUUUACCCACUAUAAUGAAGUGAUUAUUUGGAUUUUCUUUAUCUUAUGGGUGUGAAAUAGAAGAGGGUUCCUUAAUUAUACUUGGAAAUGUUAUAAAAUGCUAAAGGGGCCGCUGUAGUUGAUCAAUUCUCCUACUUGUAAUAACUCAGUCUCACUAGGAGAACGGCGUUUCAAUUUAACCGGAUAACAGAUAUAUAGGCAGAGGAUAACGGAAAACUGAGAAGCAAUAAGAGAUUAUAUUGCUCAAACGGUAACAGCAUAUCAUCUGAUACUACAUACAUCCUAUGACCGUCAGCAGAAAGAAUACAACAGAAGAAUUUAACAGUUCCCAUCCCCCGUCCCCUGUAACUUCAGCGCAACAACAGAGAAACUGAUACGACUGCAUACAUCCUAUCAUGCUGAACAAAAGGGACGAAUGGAAAUGAUUUCAAAGUCCACCACCACUUUUUCCAUUUCGUCUCUUGAUCUGUCAGUUAUUGCAAUGAUGAUCCAUGUAUCAGUAACUNNNNN